GGAAUUGUUUUUCUUUUGGUUUACUUUAUUUAAGCUAUCAGACAUACCUUUUCCUUCUUAUGCAGUAAAUUACUUGGUUAGCAUUUUAGGUUGGCAUUCUACCUGACUCCAUCUCUUUUACCCGUGAUGUCAUCUGUACAUCCAUUGCCCUGUGCUCAAGUAUGUCCAGUUUUUGCUUGCCCACUAAAUUAAGUUUGCUUUUGUUAUGGGAAGGACCUCUUAGAUAUAUAAUUUGGCAAUGGCUUUUUGCAUGCUACUUUCGGGAAGGUUACUUGGUGAGCAUUUUUGAUGCGUUUCUCCACACAUCCUACAAUAUCGGUAACUGAAUCUUUAAUUCCCUUGUUAUAACAGACAGAGUUUCUUGAAUCUUCACUACAGUUCUACUCUCCUUAUAUUAUGCUUUUACAGCAAUUCCCUAGGCUCGGGAAGGUGAAAGAUGAAGUUUAUAAUGGUACUGAAUACCAAACUGUUGCUUGAUUUAUUCAGGAAGGUUAUUAUAUUCUGGGAUCAAGUGACAGCUUAAAAGCUAGUAUAAUUCAUCAUCAUCAGCUAAUUUUCACUGGGUGUCCACUGGGUGCUGAACAUCAUACAAGGCUCUUUGUCAGCAUGCAUGUGCCUGAUAAGGUUGAUGGAAUUCUAGGAAUACGUGAUCCUGUCCUCCAGGAACAUUCUGCUGUCACUGUGAGUCACUGAAGGCUCCGGAUUGUCAAGUUCUGUGUACAAAUGCAUGUAACUAAAAACACUUCAUUGCUGCCAAAAUUACUGUCAGCAAAUCUAGGUCCUAUUGUCAUUAGCAUCUACACUGUUGCCAGGGAAAUAGAGAGAUACUGAAUAGACAAGCAUAGGUGUCUGCUCUAGUGACCUUAGCUCAGCAGCAUACUUUUAUGCUUUGGGUCUGGGGCAGAUCCUUUCUGUCCUAUACACAUAAUUUCGCUCCGUGUUUUACUUAAUGAGAUCCAAUUGCCCCUCUCCUCCCAAACACCUAUGCACUUCAUCUUUCCUCGUGAGAAACAAGUCACGAAGGUUGUACAUCUAGAUCUAGUGCCUGGGUGAUUGCUGGGUGAUUCGUAUCACUCUUCUGAAAUUAUUUGGAAGACCAACCUAGAUCAAAUUUGGUACAACUUGUUUUCAUCAAUAUGUAGAUUAAGACAGUGAGGGGGAUGCAGAGCAGCCCCUGUAUGGAUGGAUAAAGAUCAGGGUGGGUCUAUGCAAUACUUGGUAGUGAGGAUGGUAUGAGCGGAGCCUGUGCACAGCAUUUCCUUGUUGAGUUUCUUCCCUGCCUUAGGCCUGUGUUCUGCUGCAUGCAGUGAGUUUGUUUACUGGAGGACUCUGCUAAGAUUUCCUUGUUUGGUAUCCAUCACAGCCAUUGCAGAGAGGAGACUUAGCAGUUCUUCUCCAGCUGAUAACAAAUAUUUAGGUUCAGGGAUUACCACAAGAGUGGAAAAGCCUCAAGAGAUGUUUUACGCAGCAGUCCAAUUUCUCCCCCUCCUCUUGUCCUCCCCUCACCCCCCUUUCCUUAUGGAGAACCUCUUCUUUAUAAUACUUUGUCCCUUUUACUUUUGAGAUCUGCUCUUCUUUGUUUUCUUUUAGUUAACACUUAACUGCUUCUUGUCACCAGCUUGCAGCCAUAGUGGGGCUUGCUCCAGGUAAUAUGUGCUUCUGUAUCUCGGGCUUUCUCCACUGGAAAGCCUCCAUCUCUGCAGUAAUCCUGUGCAGGACUUGGAGAGGUAUCUGCCGUGGUCUGACACUUCAGGUUUCCAGGGCUGUUCUUCCCCCCUCCUUAGUAUCUCCUAUUUCCUUUUGCAGUGUUUUUAAUUCCAACACUAAACGGAGACAGUAACAAAUAAUUAGCCUGCUGCAACUUAGCUAACACACAGGCUUAUCUGAAAUUCGGUGCAUCGAGAUCUCUGGCUGUUCCUUGCAAUCUUAUAUCUCAGGAUGGCUCAAAGGUUGCUUGAUCUCUGGUUUCAGAGGCUUUUUUGAAAUUUGUCUCUAUAGAGGGGUACACUAUUCUAGAUUUAUACAGUGGCCAAUUUAUUUGCAUAUGGCUAAAAAUGGCUGUGUUGCUUUUAGGAGAAUCAGCUCUUAGUAAAGCUUCCUGGGUUUUGUAGUUGUUGUUUGUAGCCCAAUACCACUUUGCUGUUUUAACUAUAGAAUGCCCAGAGUCCAGGGCCUUAGAGGAGUGAUUCCUUUGAAGAGAUAAAUUCAUUGCUCCUCAUAAAGCUCUCUGCCAUCUUAUACAAAUGUCAAUAUCUAAAAAAUACUUUUAGAAAGAUCAUACCUUAAUUGUAAUUGUUUCAUUGAGUUAUUGUUUUUAUAAUAUAAAGCAUAUUUUAGUAAUUUCCUUUUCUGUAAAUUACGUAUAAAUGCAUAUGCAUUGAUUUUUUAGGUGUGUCCAUAAUAUAAUAAGUAUUAAUAAUUAUAGAUGGCAAUCAUUUUUAUCAGUUGAUUCAGUGAUAGAAAGCUAUAGAAGUAUCUCUUGAGUCAGGAAACAGAGAGACACCAUAGCAAAUUCUAUAAUGCUCUGAGAUUACCCAGGAAGAAGGCUAAUUUAUCUCAUACAUAAAGCUUGUAGAUGACGCUUUACAAGCAAGCCUGGAAAUAUAAACUUUUCAAACCCAUGAAUAAAAUCCUCUUUACCCAGAUAAGUUAACUAGAAAGUAUGAAGCAUCAUAAGAUAUAAGGACAAACUUUUCAUUCAUUUGAAUAAUCAAGCUUUAGUUGCGCAUCUCCUGUGUCUAGAGAGAGAAAAGUAGUGGGAUUUUGUUUUUCACUGCUUAGAGUUUGAGGACUUUCUAGAGAUAUUUAUACAUCUUAACUGAAAAAUGUUCUAUGUUCCUUAAUUUUUUUCUUAAUGUAUUCAUUUUUAUUACAUUUUUCCUAAAAAAUGCAAGAUUAUGUUUUCAUUAGUUAUUUGACAGAAGUUUUUCACUAGAAGAUUGGAAAACAAAAAAUUAGUAGCAAUGUCAAAGAAUGUAAAAGCAGGAGACAAACGAGAAAAACUCCAAAUGUGGGUAAACUCAACAAGGGAAUUUAAGGGAAGGACCAAAACCUGGAACUGGGAAAUCAGUCUUCUCAUUGCCGUCAUGAAGAUUCCUGGUAUUGGAAUCUUUCAACAUCCCUGAGUUAUGCUUCUCAACUGUGGUUAAAGCUUGGUGGCUCCCAGGGGAGGUCACGCCCAAAGCCUCAGGGCCAGGCCUGGAAGGAGGGUGUAGAAACAAGUCUAUCUCUGAGAAUGUGGACCAAGGGCUGAAUCUGCCUUCAAGGCAAGGUUCCAGCACAGGAUUAGAUACUGGCCUUGAACAACAUGGAACUGCAUUUGUUUUCUGCCUCCAGGUGUUAAAUAUGUUUAAUUAUGUGAUAGUGUUCUUUAUG